UGGCAUCAUCGCCUUGGUCAUUUGUGUGGCUCUCGUCUCUCCUCUUUAGUUCGACGCGGUCUUCUUGGAUCCGUCUCCGGCGGUGUGUCUUUAGACUGUCAAGGUUGUCGUCUCGGUAAACAGAUCCAGUUACCUUAUCCUCAUAGCGAGACCGUGUCUCAGCGUCCUUUCGACCUUGUUCACUCUGAUGUUUGGGGUCCAGCUCCCUUUUCCUCAAAGGGAGGUCAUCGCUACUAUAUUAUCUUUAUAGAUGAUUUCUCUCGACACACAUGGAUAUAUUUUAUGUCUUCUCGUAGUGAGGUCUUAUCUAUCUAUAAG
rnacentral:rRNA from 1 species